GAGCACUGCUCGUGGCCUAUUAGUCUGGCUGUGACUGAUGGCCUCUAUUCCAGUGGGACAACAGCUCCAGCAACAAGUGACUGACUGACUCGUGGCUCUCAGGGUCAGGUCCUGGGGGCACAG
rnacentral:snoRNA from 1 species